UGGGGAAUUUUGGACAAUGGGCGCAAGCCUGAUCCAGCCAUGCCGCGUGAGUGAAGAAGGCCUUCGGGUUGUAAAGCUCUUUCGGACGGGAAGAAAUGGCGGGCUCUAGCAUAGCCUGUCGAUGACGGUACCGUAAGAAGAAGCACCGGCUAACUACGUGCCAUCAGCCGCGGUAAUACGUAGGGUGCGAGCGUUAAUCGGAAUUACUGGGCGUAAAGCGUGCGCAGGCGGUUUUGUAAGACAGAUGUGAAAUCCCCGGGCUUAACCUGGGAACUGCGUUUGUGACUGCAAGGCUGGAGUACGGCAGAGGGGGGUGGAAUUCCACGUGUAGCAGUGAAAUGCGUAGAGAUGUGGAGGAACACCGAUGGCGAAGGCAGCCCCCUGGGCCUGUACUGACGCUCAUGCACGAAAGCGUGGGGAGCAAACA
rnacentral:rRNA from 1 species